AUGCUCACCUCAGCAGCACAUCUACUCAAAGUAAAACAUACAAAGAAGAUUAGCACGGUCUCUAUGUAAAGAUGACAUAAAAAUUCAUGGAAGAGUCCACAUUUUUU
rnacentral:snRNA from 1 species